UACGGAGGGUGCAAGCGUUAUCCGGAUUCACUGGGUUAAAGGGUGCGUAGGAGGGCAGGUAAGUCCGUGGUGAAAUCUCUGAGCUUAACUCAGAAACUGCCGUGGAUACUACCGGUCUUGAAUAUCGUGGAGGUGAGCGGAAUAUGUCAUGUAGCGGUGAAAUGCUUAGAUAUGACAUAGAACACCAAUUGCGAAGGCAGCUCACUACCCGAAUAUUGACUCUGAGGCACGAAAGCGUGGGGAUCAAACAGG
rnacentral:rRNA from 1 species